rnacentral:rRNA from 1 species
UAGAGCUUGAUCAUGGCUCAGAUUGAACGCUGGCGGCAGGCCUAACACAUGCAAGUCGAGCGGUAGAGAGAAGCUUGCUUCUCUUGAGAGCGGCGGACGGGUGAGUAAUGCCUAGGAAUCUGCCUGGUAGUGGGGGAUAACGUUCGGAAACGGACGCUAAUACCGCAUACGUCCUACGGGAGAAAGCAGGGGACCUUCGGGCCUUGCGCUAUCAGAUGAGCCUAGGUCGGAUUAGCUAGUUGGUGAGGUAAUGGCUCACCAAGGCGACGAUCCGUAACUGGUCUGAGAGGAUGAUCAGUCACACUGGAACUGAGACACGGUCCAGACUCCUACGGGAGGCAGCAGUGGGGAAUAUUGGACAAUGGGCGAAAGCCUGAUCCAGCCAUGCCGCGUGUGUGAAGAAGGUCUUCGGAUUGUAAAGCACUUUAAGUUGGGAGGAAGGGCAGUUACCUAAUACGUAAUUGUUUUGACGUACCGAC